GUGCUCAUUUCAGUAGCACAGCUACAAAAAUUGCAAUGAUAAUAGUGAAGAUUAUCAUGGGCCCUAUGCAAGGAUAACACAAACUCAUCAAGUAUUCCAUAUUUUU
rnacentral:snRNA from 1 species